rnacentral:rRNA from 1 species
AAUCAACGCUGGCGGCGUGCCUAACACAUGCAAGUCGAGCGGGAAAGGGGGCUUCGGCCCCUGAGUAUAGCGGCGGACGGGUGAGUAACACGUGGGUAAUUUGCCCUUGGGUGUGGAAUAACUCAGGGAAACUUGAGCUAAUACCGCAUGACAUCCCCUUCACACACGAGUCGGGGAUCAAAGCCGGGGACCCUUCGGGGCCUGGCGCCUGAGGAGAAGCCCGCGCCCGAUUAGCUAGUUGGGAGGUAAUGGCUCACCAAGGCUUCGAUCGGUAGCCGGCCUGAGAGGGCGGACGGCCACACUGGGACUGAGACACGGCCCAGACUCCUACGGGAGGCAGCAGUGGGGAAUUUUUGUCAAUGGGGGAAACCCUGAACAAGCAACGCCGCGUGGAGGACGACGACCU